GCCAGGCGCAGUGACGCACGCCAGUAAUCUCAGCAGCUCGGGAGGCUGAGGCAGGAGGAUCGUAAGUUCAAAGCCAGCCUUAGCAAAAGCGAGGCCCUAGGCAACUCGGUGAGACCCUGUCUCUA
rnacentral:sRNA from 1 species